rnacentral:rRNA from 1 species
GAUGAACGCUGGCGGCGUGCCUAAUACAUGCAAGUCGAGCGAACGGACGAGAAGCUUGCUUCUCUGAUGUUAGCGGCGGACGGGUGAGUAACACGUGGAUAACCUACCUAUAAGACUGGGAUAACUUCGGGAAACCGGAGCUAAUACCGGAUAAUAUUUUGAACCGCAUGGUUCAAAAGUGAAAGACGGUCUUGCUGUCACUUAUAGAUGGAUCCGCGCUGCAUUAGCCAGUUGGUAAGGUAACGGCUUACCAAGGCAACGAUGCAUAGCCGACCUGAGAGGGUGAUCGGCCACACUGGAACUGAGACACGGUCCAGACUCCUACGGGAGGCAGCAGUAGGGAAUCUUCCGCAAUGGGCGAAAGCCUGACGGAGCAACGCCGCGUGAGUGAUGAAGGUCUUCGGAUCGUAAAACUCUGUUAUUAGGGAGGAACAUAUGUGUAAGUAACUGUGCACAUCUUGACGGUACCUAAUCAGAAAGCCACGGCUAACUACGUG